rnacentral:ncRNA from 2 species
AUCGUUCAUCCUCUUCGCACCAAACGGCUCGAGUUGUAAAGAGCCAACGGACAAGAGGACGGAAGUAGGGAGAGAUCCUGAAGGAACGCGCC